CGCCAAGGCCUGAAACUCAAAAGGNAUUGACNGGGGGCCNGGCAACAACCGGUGGAGCAUGUGGUUUAAUUNCAACGCAACNGCCAAGAACNCUAACCCAGGCUCGGAACGGUAGAAUGACAUCUUACGAAAAGUAGGCUCCCCCCAAGGGCAUCUAUCGAGGUGCUGCAUGNCUGUCGUCAGCUCGUGUCGUGAGAUGUUGGGNUAAGUCCCGCAACGAGCGCAACCCCUUGUCUUCUGUUGCCAUCAGGUUAAGCCUGGGCACUCUGAAGAGACUGCCGGUGACAAACCGGAGGAAGGUGGGGAUGACGUCAAGUCAGCAUGGCCUUUAUGUCUGGGGCCACACACGUGCUACAAUGGCAGGUACAAACCGUCGCGAGACCGCAAGGUGGAGCUAAUCGGAGAAAGCCUGUCUCAGUUCGGAUUGUCGGCUGCAACUCGCCGGCAUGAAGUUGGAAUCGCUAGUAAUCGCGGAUCAGCACGCCGCGGUGAAUACGUUCCCGGGCCUUGUACACACCGCCCGUCACAUCACGAAAGCUGGCUGUACUAGAAGUCGCUACGCUAACCCGCCAAGGGAGGCAGGUGCCUAAGGUAUGGUCAGUGAUUGGGGUGAAGUCGUAACAAGGUACC
rnacentral:rRNA from 1 species